UUUCCGUAGGUGAACCUGCGGAAGGAUCAUUAAUGUAUAACCGGUUGUCGAGGGCUGGCGCUGAUCGGAAAGGCCGAGCAAGCCUGAUUGCACUCACACACGUGCAUCUCACCCCGAAGUGCACCGCCGCGUGGGUCCCCCUUUGGCUUGUUCGGUGGGGGGCUUACGUUUUCACUCAAACUUUAUGUGCAGUGUAGAAUUUAUUUUUUGUUUUUUCGAACACAAAAUCUAUACAAAUUUCAACAACGGAUCCCUUGGCUCUGGCAUCGAGGAAGAGCG
rnacentral:misc_RNA from 1 species